rnacentral:rRNA from 1 species
UACGUAGGGUGCGAGCGUUGUCCGGAAUUACUGGGCGUAAAGAGCUCGUAGGUGGUUUGUCGCGUUGUUCGUGAAAACUCACAGCUCAACUGUGGGCGUGCGGGCGAUACGGGCAGACUGGAGUACUGCAGGGGAGACUGGAAUUCCUGGUGUAGCGGUGGAAUGCGCAGAUAUCAGGAGGAACACCGGUGGCGAAGGCGGGUCUCUGGGCAGUAGCUGACGCUGAGGAGCGAAAGCGUGGGGAGCGAACAGG